rnacentral:rRNA from 1 species
GUUGACCUCGGAUCAGGUGGGGAUACCCGCUG